CAGUUGGUUGCAAUCUGUAACCUCACCGCUAGAUGCCGCCAUACUGUACCUUUAAGUAAAGCCAUAGUUAACAUUAUACCUGCUAAACAUCAGCAUGUUAGCAUUGCCAUUGUGAGCACACUGACAUUAGCAAAACCUGUGAGUACAACCUCACAGAGCUGCCAGCUGUCUACAGCAGCUGGAUAUAUUGAGGGAGAACUUUCAUCUUGUCUAAGAUGUUUAUUUAGGGAAUGGGUGUGCCCACCCCAAAUUUAUCAUUGUCACCUGCAGCCUUCCUUUCUCUGUUUACUUUCUAAACUGAAAGCUUUAUUGGCUGAAGGGGUCACACCUGUUUGCCAAGGGAUUAGCAAGAUAUAUUUCUCAGCCUGAUAUUGUUUGUCCUUGUCAUACUCUCGUCCCCUUCCUUAUUCUGCGACACUAGGUUUCCUUGAUGGAUAUGGCUUUCUUAAGACGAGCAUCAAUGACUCACUCUAUUGGAAAGGUGCCUGCUUCGCUGUAGUUUGUGCAAUAUUAAAUUAAAGGUCCGCUGUGCUUUAUGUCUCGGAGAACUUUAGGUGUGUGUGUGGGUUAAAAUCCGGAUGUAGUAAUCUCAUCCUGGAGGGACUGCGGUCGUUGUUUUAUUCUGCUGAAUCAUAUUAUGACGGCUGAGUCAGCCCAGAAGACUUCUGGGUCACCUUUGUCAUUUUGUCCGGUCGGCCCGUGUGCGAGUCUCGCCCUGCGCAGACGGACCUCGCCUCCCCUAACUCACCCUUUCAAUUGUUUUAAGCAUCUGGUGAAAACCAAUGUGACUUCUCCCAAUCAGGGUUCAAGUAAGCAUUAUUUGAAUGGUAACAAAAUGAAUAUGAAAAACAACAAUGAGUAAUAAUAUUUUUCUUUCCGUGCACAUUUGACUGUUGGUCAGUGUGUGUGUAUGUGUGUGCUUGGUGUUAUUUCUUUAUAAAAACGUGAUAAGAAAAUCCUUCUGUUUUUGGAAACUUUAUGUAAAUAUCGUUGGUGAAAAUUGACAUUUGUUGUACGCCGAGUUUUCAUUUGUCACUUGAAAUGAUGAAGAAAACAAUGAUUAUUGAUGAAUAACAACGUGGUGAUGUUGAUGAUGCUGAAGCUGAUUAUACCUGCCCUUCUUGAAUAAGGGCUUUUGAUGUCCGCUGUAUUUUUGUUGGAGGUGCCGUGAGGUCGGGCAAGAGAAACAAAGGGAAGGAGUGAUACCCGACACAUCCCGGGCCCGCUGUAGCAACACUGCCACAAACACCUUUUACCCUCCAACCCGACACAUUUUCAGGAAAUACACUGAGCGAUAUGUGGCACAAAGUGUAGCCUGUGUUAUUUCGCCAUCUUUGUAUUUGCAUUACCAAAAAAAUUGGCUCCUCCUUGGCUGUGUGAGAAGACGGUUCACCUCCCCGUGGAGUCAGUCCUCCACAGUUGCUUGGCAUCACAUCUCACCCUGUCUGCUUAUAGGCUUGGGGAUUUACUGUAAUGCCAUUGUGUUAGACGGGAUUGGCCCUGUACUGACACUGAUGAUGCUUUCCUCAUUGAAUUUGGAGUCAUUAUUGCUCAGCUGGGGGCCAUACAUGGGGACAGGCACGUAUGGAGGAACGUACAUCAUCCGUCUGACCCUGUAAAAGCAUUGUGACUCAGCCUCUUAUUUCGGGGUGAGACUCGUGAUUAGCACUGCCGUGAACUCGCCACAUAAUAUGCGUCUCCUGCUUAGUUUGUAAGAACUCUCAGAAAAGGCCAGGAUUAGCGCUAUAAACCUCCAUAUGGCAGACGUGUAGUGGAAAUAAGGGGUUUUAAAGGUAUAAUAUGCAAUAAAUUCCUAAAAAACAACUAUAGACUGAUACAAAAAUAAUCCCUCUCAAUCAUCACUUAUGCCCCGCUAGAAGUGUGUGUCGUGUCUGUUUCUGCAGAGACCCUGCAGCCCUCUGCCUGGAUUUUCUCUUUUCUUCUUAUUUUGCUUUACUUGGGACGCUUCUGGGCGUCAGCAAACAGCCUUUGGGCCCCACUUGUCGGUGUUACCGGUGUUACACGGUGACAAACAGCCACCCGCCGGUAAAGUUCAAAGUAAGCGCGCUAUACAUAUUGACCGUCAUAUUUUCUUGUAAAAUGUCCGGUGUAAUCGGUAACACCGGCCUUGUCACAAGUUUAUUAACCGGUGGGAAACUUUCCUCACCGUCACAUUCAGCCUUGUCACGCCCCUCAGCUUCUGACUAAGGCACAAGCAUUGGGCUAUACAUCGAUGGGCACAGGUCCCCCUUUAGAUGCUUUGCGGCCGUAUUUGAUGGAUGAGAAUGAGUUUGUUACAUCAGUGUGAGUUCCCCUGUUCCUCUGUCUCUCUUCUGCUGUGUGCAGUGGCUGUUGUGUGCUGCUAUCGGUGUGUCAGUUUGACCGAGGCACACACAACGCGCAGAGAGGACAGCCUGCCUUUCGGCUGCAUUCAUUCAAAAUCCGGCAGCUUGGCACCUUCCCGCAGGGUUGUACAGAGGUACACCAACUGUUGCAUAUUAUACCUUUAAUCAUUGAAAAUAAGUGAGGGAGAGUAAGAUUGAUCUUUCCAAAUGUCCGAAAUGUGCCCUGUGCCUUCUCAACUCACACAUAUUCAGCCCACUGCCGCAUCCAAAAAAUAUAUUGAAAAAAGUGCACAGGACUGUAAUCCAGUUAUUUCCACUGCAGGUGUCUCUACGCCUACUUUCCGAUUUUCCAUAUGCCACAGCCUUAUGUAUCUGGCUGGGUGUGUGUGUACAGUGCAGGGACGGAGUUUAUCAGUUUACUUUUAGGACUGUCUCCUCCACAGACAUGAUACGGUGCAGCAGAUACUCCCAGCAGCUGUCUGCAGGAAGGACGGUGGAUACAGUCCUGUCUUCGUUUGUAAUACCAUCCUUUAGAGGGAGUCCCACGGGGAGUCGGAAGACACACACACACACACAAUCUGUCGUUUCUCGAUGUGCUGAAAAUAAAUUAUCCCUAAACCCAGAUCCUUUCCAAUACGUGUUUUUUUUCUUUCCUCGCCGGUUGUAAAUAGACUUUGUGACUCGGUUAGAGCCGCCUCUAACUCCUGCCAUAAUGUGGACAUUUUUUAAUCAGGUAGGUAAUAAGCAAUACACUUAAUUAAUCUUAACGCCAUACACUGAAAUAUUACUUACCGAGUCUGGUGGCGUUUAAGGGAUGUGGAGGGUAACGCUCCUAUUUCUUCACCUCCUUUCUCAACUCGCCAUGGCCCACCUCUUCAACAAAGAGUGCUCUAACUUAAAACACACAAUUGUGAUGUGUACAAUCUAAUUUAAUGUAUUUAUUUAUGUAUUUUUGCCAACUUUGUAUAGUGUAUAAAUAUCUAUAAAUAUAUGAAAAAAGACAGUACUGUAUAGAUUUUAGCUGCCUGGUAAGGUUAAUAGUAUAUACUUGGUAGACUAAAAGAAAAAGCGUAGAGCUGUUCAAAAGCCAGUCAUUGAGAAAAUGCUUUCUGUAAAACCCGGUGCCACUGGCUCCUUUUUAUAUCCUAGGUUUCGUUUCUGGUUUAUUUUUUUUUAUUAUCAUUAUUGCCAGUGGGAUCCAAAGUGUGUGUUGUUUCUUCUUUUUCGUCCGUUCGUUUGUUAAUCGGUUUUGUUUUUUCUUGACAAGACACAGCGAGGUUCUGGCAGCCAGGAGAGUGCAGUGGAACGCAGACUGGGACCCUGUGCAGUAGUGUGUGUGUGUGUGUGUGUGUCUGUGUGUGUGAGCGAGCGUGUGUGUGUGUGUGUUAGGUGUGUGUCCGUCCAUGGUAGUGCUAGUGCUCUCUGUGCAGUGCCUCCCUCCUCUUUCUCCCUCUCUGAUGUAGUUUGUCAUGUGACGCAGUGUGUGUUAAGGUGCAGGAUGACUGUUGGCUGAAGCUGGCAGAUGCCCUCUCUCUCUCUCUCUCUCUCUCUCUCUCUCUCUCUCUCUCUCUCUCUCUCCUCAUGUCCACUCUGCUUCUUCAUUACAACGCUUCAUCUUAAUCCUCCACCAAGUAUAGAUUUCCACUUCCUCUGCUCAGUUUCUCAUUUACUCUCCCAUUCAGCUGGUAAUGCAUACACCACCAGAGUCUAAUUUCCCAGUAAUCCAUGCUUCCUCAUCUAUCUGCGAUUCUUUGUCCAUUAGCAGCUCUCAUCCGUCACCCUCCACAUUACCUUGUUUUCCCUGCAGAGCUCUGUGGACCAGAGAAUGAUUUAGCACAAAAAAAAACAGCAUCCCUGGUCAUUCUUCCUCUCUUUAUGGUGUCGCUCUCUCUGAGGAGAAGGGCAGCUGCCGGCUCAGCACGCAGAAACACAAAGCAGCCAUAUUCAGGUGUCAAGCACUCCAAUCUAUGUUGUGGUGGCGUCACCGCCGCCCCGUUUGUAGCAAGAGAAAGAGAAUAGCCUUAAAGAUUGGACCAACUACACACACAAAAGUAGUGGGAUAUGUGCAUUUGUAGUGGACUAUUAUUACCUUCCCUUUCCCGCACCAGAUUUAUUACUCAGUAUUCUGAUGUGUUGCUUGGUUGCUUUGUACAUAUCUGUGUAGUACUUCUGUUGAUGUCCCUGUGUUAGGAUAGUAACGGGUUCUUACUGGGCGGCCUCCGCAGACGUCCUCUCCCUACUGUCUCGUCUCAUUCCUCAAAAUACUUCAAAACAUUCCACCUGAAUCUCAAGUGAGCAACAUUUUAAAGAUGAUUAGAUUUAUCACGUAGGCUGGGAGCGAACCAAUAGAGGGACCGAACCACAGACAUUUCCACUGGAGCCAUGAUAAUAACCAAGACGUCUUGUCUGUGCUCACGUCCCUUUGAGAGCUGAUAGACCGUCACACGCACCUCUCUGCCCCUCCAAAAACCCGCCUUCACGCUGAGCUCACCGCGCUCCGAGUGGUCAGCGGGUCACCGACUGGUUUGAGGAGCCGCUGACCUCCUUUGGGGUGAGGAGGGUGAGGUAGGUGAGGAGGUGGGAGAGCCCUGGUAGGCGGCAGAGAGGCCCGUCCCUGAGGUCACAUCCUGGGUCAGGAGGGCGGGGAGCGAGGGCGUCUCGAGGUCAAACCCAGUAGCACUUUGGUUUUGCGUUCCAUGUUUUUUUUAGCCUCUCCUGUUUUUUGGCCGAGCGGACUGUGAUCUUACUGGUUGAUUUUUCUCGUUCUCCUCCACCCAUCAGUGUUACAGAGUGUGUUGGGUGGACGGAGCAAAGGAGCUGAGCUCUGAUUCUGUUCCAUAUUAAAGACUCAUUUUUACUA